rnacentral:rRNA from 1 species
CCUACGGGAGACAGCAGUGAGGAAUAUUGGUCAAUGGACGAGAGUCUGAACCAGCCAAGUAGCGUGAAGGAUGACUGCCCUAUGGGUUGUAAACUUCUUUUAUAUGGGAAUAAAACGUUCCACGUGUGGGAUUUUGUAUGUACCAUAUGAAUAAGGAUCGGCUAACUCCGUGCCAGCAGCCGCGGUAAUACGGAGGAUCCGAGCGUUAUCCGGAUUUAUUGGGUUUAAAGGGAGCGUAGGUGGAUUGUUAAGUCAGUUGUGAAAGUUUGCGGCUCAACCGUAAAAUUGCAGAUGAAACUGGCAGUCUUGAGUACAGUAGAGGUGGGCGGAAUUCGUGGUGUAGCGGUGAAAUGCUUAGAUAUCACGAAGAACUCCGAUUGCGAAGGCAGUUCACUGGACUGCAACUGACACUGAGGCUCGAAAGUGUGGGUAUCAAACAGGAUUAGAUACCCCUGUAGUC